rnacentral:sRNA from 10 species
GAGGGUAGUUUAGUAUCGUGUCGUUCAAAAGAUGACAUGGCUGGUGACGAGCCGCUACCUUCCUUAUCCGUAAACCAACUUUGGAAUUGCAAUGUCCAAAACAUUAAAAUUAACAAAGGAGAAGUGCUCGUCAGUUGUGUGUGACAGGUCACUACAUAGUCGUGAGAUGUUCACGGCCGUGAAGGGUCCCAAGCCCGACAUGAGUUUCGAGAAAGUUCUCUAAUCCCGCAAGGAUAAAUUGGUGGGGCACCAUCGAAGAGUGAUAAGUACCGAGAGAGUUGCAGACAACUUAAGGAUUGGUUAAUCUAAUUGACCGUGACUGAGGGUUACCGUUCAAAAGACGGUGGAAACGAAGGGAAUCAAAUAAUCCUUCCAAAGAUCCUCACAAAAUGGUGUAUUCUCAACCU